GUCAGGUCCGAGGAGUUGUCUUCGCCACUGCUGGGGUCUGUCCUGGUCGGGACGCCUUUGACGUUCCUGAGUUGGGUCGUGCCCGAGGGUGGGGCCCAGUACGGGAGCUGGGUUGGGGAGAAGUUCGAGGGGCGCUGGGAUAAUCAAGCAAAAGAAAGAUGAGCUUCAUCUAUGGAUUGCAGUCUGCUACUAGAAACCGUAUUUUCUUCCGAUUUAAUUUACUGACCAACUGGAGAAAAUGUAACACAGUAGCUGCAAACUCACUGAACUAUCAUCAAGUACAAAUUAACCAUGUAGUAAAUAAGCAUCGGGGCCUGGGAGUAAAUCAAUGGGAUAGAUUGACUUCUCUGCCUGGAAACUUUCAUUUCUGUAGAACUUUUAAUAACAAAAGAACAGGAUGCCUCUUGAGUAUCAAAAGUAAGGAAAUUUGGAUGAUUACCCGAAAAUGUACUGCGUGGAAUGACUCUUUUUCAAGACAGCAACUGUUAAAAGAAAUUGCAGUAGUUCCUACUCUUUCACUAUUGGGUCCUCAAAACUGUUUUCCCAUAAGAAACAUCAGGACUUUCCACACUUCUCCACAGUUUCAAGCUGCUCCUGUUCCUCUCUUGUUGAUAAUUCUUAAACCAGUGCAGAAACUACUUGCAAUCAUUAUAGGCAGGGGCAUAAGGAAAUGGUGGCAUGCACUUCCUCCCAACAAAAAGGAGCUAUUUAAAGAAAGUAUAAAGAAGAAUAAGUGGAAGUUAUUCCUCGGUUUGAGUGGUUUGGGGUUGCUCUUCAUGGUGUUUUAUUUUACCCACUUGGAAGUGAGUCCAAUCACAGGAAGGAGCAAGCUACUGUUAUUGGGAAAAGAACAUUUCAGUCUUUUAUCAGAACUGGAAUAUGAAGCAUGUAUGGAAGAAUUUAAAGAUUAUAUGUUAACUGAGAAAGAUGCCCGAUACCUGUCCACUAAAAAAGUGUUUUAUCAUUUAAUUGAAUGCAAUAAGGAUAUUCCAGAAAUCUCUGAGAUCAAUUGGGUUAUUCAUGUGGUUGAGUCCCCAGAUAUAAAUGCCUUUGUGCUUCCAAAUGGACAUGUGUUUGUUUUCACUGGGCUUUUAAAUAGUGUGACUGAUACUCAUCAACUUUCCUUCCUUCUGGGCCAUGAAAUAGCACAUGCAAUACUUGGGCAUGCUGCAGAAAAGGCCAGCCUAGUUCAUUUAUUGGAUCUCCUAGGUCUGAUUUUUCUCACAAUGAUUUGGGCCAUUUCUCCUCGAGAUAGUUUGGCACUUCUGGGCCAGUGGAUACAGUCUAAAUUUCAGGAGUAUAUGUUUAAGAGACCAUACAGUAGAACAUUGGAGGCUGAAGCUGACAAAAUUGGACUACAGCUAGUGGCAAAGGCCUGUGUGGACGUCAGAUCAAGUUCAGUGUUUUGGCAGCAGAUGGAGUUUAUAGAUGGCCUCUCUGGUUCUCCCAAGUUGCCAGAAUGGUUAUCCACACAUCCUUCUCAUGGAAACAGAGCGGAGCACUUGGAUAGACUCAUACCUGAGGUCAACCUGAAUGUGUGUCUUCAGGAGGAAUCUAUGUAGAACGAUGAUGAAGGAACUCAGACCAGCCAAAUCAGUUCUAAUGUAAUAAAAGAUGUUGCAGCCACAUUUUCCUCCUAUUCAAAGAGUAGGUUUAAGAGGACGGAAGACCCCUUAAUAAGUGAAACACGUACAACAACACGUCAGUGAAGGACUCAGUAGCAACAGUGCUCUUUUCACAAUCCACUGGUCAUUAAGAAUUAGAUAAAAUAUUUAGAGUGUUUAUACAUAAUUUUAAUUAUAGCUUGCAUCCUACUAUUCUUAGAAAACCACAGUUUAAAUAGGGAAUUAAUAAAGAAUUGAAUAAAUAGUACAAAAAUAUUUAACUGAAAGAAGAAACUAACUGCUAGAAAAAAGAUGUUUAUUUUCUUUUCAAAUGCACAUCUUUCAUAAAAAUACUGGUUAUAUAACUUGGACAAAAACAUGUAUACUUAUAAAAUGUUAUGGUUCAAAUUGUCAGGGUACAAUACAUUAAAAUUAAUAUAACAAAAAUUAAAAUAUGGCUACAUGGAAAUUAAAAUAAAAUUGUGUAUGUAUAAGGCAAGAGAGAAGUCUUUCAACAAUUAAGAGCAUGCCUUAAAAUCAAGAAAUUUUGUAAUGAUAUAGUUAUAUUUUCAUUGGUUACUUUCAAACCUAUAUGUAAGUGAAGUUAAAUGUCUAUAUUAGUAAGAAAGAAAAAGAGAAAAGAAAUAGAGAAAUGUAAUGUGCCCAGACAGUGAAUAUCCAGUUAAUGAAACUAAGCAGAAAUAAGCAAAAUUAUAAUAGUUGGUUCUUUUGGAAAUUUAGUCAAAGAGAAAAUCAUUGGAUCAGUUAGAAAAUAAAAUGUCAAUAGGAUUGGGAGAAAAGCUACAAUAACUAUCAUAUAAGAAAACCAAAAUAUUUGGGUGAAUAUUUUUAGUUAGGUGAUGUUAAUAGCCCAGGUCAAAAUCAGAAGUAAUUAGAGUGUGUGCAUGAGUGUGAGCAUGUGUGUGACAAUUACCAAAGUAGCUGCAGCUAGAAGUAGAAACUAUAACUAGAAUGAACCUUCUCAAAUUAACUUGAAAAAAGAGGUAAGGGAUAAUUUAAAUAAAUAAUAGCACUGUACUCGAAACCCAAAGAGUUAUAUCAGAUUAGCAAAGAGAAGGGCACCUAGCACUGACGAUUUACUUCGGCAAAUUUUUCCAAAAGUUCAAAGAACAGUUAUUCAAAGAAUAAUUCUAGCUUUAAAAAAUAAAAAGGGACAAUGUUAAUUAUCUGAUUUAUUUUAUGGUCAUAAAUGAUUUUAUUUUGACAAUUUGGUAAGAGCAACACCUUUAAAAGAAUUUAUAGACUAGGGUCAUUAACCAGCAGAUAGUGCAAUAUUAUUUAACAAUAACUAUUAUAAGCAACUAAAUUAUCCUCAGAUACAUGAGUAGCAUGAUAAAAAAAAAAA